AUUGUGGCUCAGUGGCAGAGCGCUUGCCUAGCACGUUUGAGGCACUGGGUUUGAUCCCCGGCACAUA
rnacentral:tRNA from 1 species